rnacentral:rRNA from 1 species
GACGUAGGAUGCAAGCGUUGUCCGGAUUUAUUGGGCGUAAAGAGUUCGUAGGUGGUUUGUUAAGUCUGAUGUUAAAUCCCGAGGCCCAACCUCGGAGCUGCAUUGGAUACUGGCAGACUGGAGUACAGUAGAGGCAAGCGGAAUUCCCAGUGUAGCGGUGAAAUGCGUAGAUAUUGGGAAGAACACCAGUGGCGUAAGCGGCUUGCUGGGCUGUAACUGACACUGAGGAACGAAAGCCAGGGGAGCGAAUGGG